rnacentral:rRNA from 1 species
GAUGAACGCUGGCGGCGUGCCUAAUACAUGCAAGUCGAGCGAAUGGAUUAAGAGCUUGCUCUUAUGAAGUUAGCGGCGGACGGGUGAGUAACACGUGGGUAACCUGCCCAUAAGACUGGGAUAACUCAGGGAAACCGGGGCUAAGACCGGAUAAUAUUUUGAACUGCAUGGUUCAAAAUUGAAAGGCGGCUUCGGCUGUCACUUAUGGAUGGACUCGGGGCCUAUCAGCUAGUUGGUGAGGUAGCGGCUCACCACGGCGACGACGGGUAGCCGGCCUGGGAGGGUGGCCGGCCACACUGGGACUGAGACACGGCCCAGACUCCUACGGGAGGCAGCAGUAGGGAAUCUUCCGCAAUGGACGAAAGUCUGACGGAGCAACGCCGCGUGAGUGAUGAAGGCUUUCGGGUCGUAAAACUCUGUUGUUAGGGAAGAACAAGUGCUAGUUGAAUAAGCUGACACCUUGACGGUACCUAACCAGAAAGCCACGGCUAACUACGUGCCAGCCGCCGCGGUAA